GCUGGCAUCCAUAGUAGAUGUCCUCAACACAAGUCCUCAUCUGAGUCAUACUUGUCCUCAUCCUGGGCAUCCUCAAAGUCCUCAUCCUCCUGGUCAUCAUCUUGUCCGCCUGAGGCUCUAGCAUCUCUAGACCUACUACCCUGUGCCUGCCCUUGAGGCCAAGCCAUCGCACUAUGGAACUCGUCCAUAGUCCACCUGUGCACUGGUGGCUGAUCAUAUAGUCCUACAAUAAUCUCGGUAGUGGCCACCUGUCCUCUGCGAAGGGACUUCAUCCUCGCCUCCAUCAUGAACAUGUACAUGUCCCUCAUUUUAAAAGGCUCAGGCUGCUGUGCCGGUGCAUCUGCAGGCUCAUUCUCCUAGGAACUGCUCCAGCCGGCUCAUCACCUCCACAGUACUGACGAUAGUAGGAGGCAUCAAUAGCCCUCCUCGGCCUCUUAAAGGGUGGAACUGUAGUGUCC
rnacentral:lncRNA from 1 species